UAGUACUGCGAGUGACGCGGGAAAAGCGUCAAAUUUAAACAUCUGGCGGCAUUGGUCGUCCGAGUUGUAAUCUGGAGAAGCAUUUUCUGUGUCGGACCGUGCACAAGUUUCCUGGAACGGAAUGUCAUAGAGGGUGAGAAUCCCGUCCAUGGCACGGAUCACCGAUGCAUUGUGAUAUGCUCUCGAAGAGUCGAGUUGUUUGGGAAUGCAGCUCAAAAUGGGUGGUAAAUUCCAUCUAAAGCUAAAUAUUGGCGAGAGACCGAUAGCGAACAAGUACCGUGAGGGAAAGAUGAAAAGCACUUUGGAAAGAGAGUUAAACAGUACGUGAAAUUGUUGAAAGGGAAACGCUUGGAGUCAGUCGCGUUGGCCAGGAUUCAGUCGCUCUUACCGGAGUGGAUUACUUCCUGGUGAACGGGUCAACAUCGAUUUCGAACGGUGGAUAAAGGGGAGAGAAAGGUGGCACCUUCGGGUGUGUUAUAGUCUCUCUUUCGCAUACACCGGCCGGGAUCGAGGAUCGCAGCACGCCUUUAUGGCCGGGGGUUCGCCUCACGUAACGUGCUUAGGAUGUUGGCAUAAUGGCUUCAAGCGACCCGUCUUGAAACACGGACCA
rnacentral:rRNA from 1 species